GAUGAACGCUGGCGGCGUGCCUAAUACAUGCAAGUCGAGCGAACAGACGAGGAGCUUGCUCCUCUGACGUUAGCGGCGGACGGGUGAGUAACACGUGGAUAACCUACCUAUAAGACUGGGAUAACUUCGUGAAACCGGAGCUAAUACCGGAUAAUAUAUUGAACCGCAUGGUCCGAUAGUGAAAGACGGUUUUGCUGUCUCUUAUAGAUGGAUCCCGGCCGAAUUGGCUGGUUGGUAAGGUACCGGCUUACCAAGGCAACGAUGGGUAGCCGACCUGAGAGGGUGAUCGGCACAACUGGAACGGGACCACGGUCCAGACUCCUACGGGAGGCAGCAGUGGGGAAUCUUCGGAAAUGGGCGAAAGCCUGACGGAGCAACGCCGCGGGAGUGAUGAAGGUCUUCGGAUCGCAAAACUCUGUUAUUAGGGAAGAACGAAUGUGUAAGUAACUAUGCACGUCUUGACGGUACCUAAUCAGAAAGCCACGGCUAACUACGUG
rnacentral:rRNA from 1 species